GGUUCGGCACUGGUUAAGACGUCUGCCUUACACGCAGAAGAUUCUGAGUUCGAUUCUCAGCGGGCCCA
rnacentral:tRNA from 1 species